rnacentral:rRNA from 1 species
UGGGGAAUAUUGGACAAUGGGGGGAACCCUGAUCCAGCCAUGCCGCGUGUGUGAAGAAGGCCUUAUGGUUGUAAAGCACUUUAAGCGAGGAGGAGGGUACUGGUAUUAAUACUACCAGCUACUGGACGUUACUCGCAGAAUAAGCACCGGCUAACUCUGUGCCAGCAGCCGCGGUAAUACAGAGGGUGCGAGCGUUAAUCGGAUUUACUGGGCGUAAAGCGUGCGUAGGCGGCUAAUUGAGUCGGAUGUGAAAUCCCCGAGCUUAACUUGGGAAUUGCAUUCGCUACUGGUUAGCUAGAGUGUGGGAGAGGAUGGUAGAAUUCCAGGUGUAGCGGUGAAAUGCGUAGAGAUCUGGAGGAAUACCGAUGGCGAAGGCAGCCAUCUGGCCUAACACUGACGCUGAGGUACGAAAGCAUGGGGAGCAAACAGG